rnacentral:lncRNA from 1 species
UUUAAGAAUCGAUGAAUUAAACAAUUCAUGAUAUGGCUCAUUAAGUGUCAUGAGUGAAUUAGAAAGCUCGCAAAGCAAUCACAUCAAGGAUCAUAUAUAUAUAUUUGAAGGAAAGUACCAAGGAAACUUGCCUUAUACUGACGAUUUCAAAUUUCAAUCGCUCCUGCUCGUUAUACUAUUCUAUAUCCACUUGCUUUCCCCCUCUAAUACGCCUGGCUUCUCUGCUAAUCAUCACAACUAAUUAUCAAUAUGUGAUCUCAUACUAUUCUCAUCAUCUUACAUUCGAAACGGGCUUCUAUCUACCCUUCGUUUCACCCAAAUCCGAUUUACGGAUCAAAAGAUAUAUCAAAAACAAUUUUAUAUCAAUCACGUAAACACAUAACAUCUCAAUCAGAUAGCACAUAGCACGUAUCACAUAAAAUAUUUAAUAAAAUAUAUUUUUCAAAAGAAGUUUGAAGUCAAACGGACUUUUCUGGUAUUUAUUAUGAAUUUUUUAAACAUUUUUCGGAAUUAAAACGGGUCAAAGAAUCAUUUUAUAAAUAAAUAAUCCAUUUCUGGAUACUCGAAAUCAAGCCCGAAAUCAUUUGAAAUCAAUUAACGAGCUUCAAUCAUAUUUUAGAAUAAUAUUUUAAAGCUCGAAACUAUUUUUCGGAAUUUUAAAAUCAUUUAAAAUUAUUUAAAAUAAUUAAAUCUAAUUAAUAAAUCAAUUAAAAUCAAUUAAUAAUUAAUUAAAACAAUUAAUCAAUUAAUAAUUAAAUUAAUUGACUAAUUAUAAUAAUUAAUUACUAAUUAAAAUUAAUUAAUAAAUUAAAUCAGAUUUAUUUUUGAAUUUAUAAAUAAUUAAAAACAAUUUUUGAAAUUAAAAUAAAUGAUUUUCGAAAUUAAAUUUAAAUCAGAAAUCAUUUUUAAAACUUUUUAAAAGUCCAGGGUUUGAAUUGCAACUUUUGGAAACUUCAGGGUUUAAAAGUUACCAUCUCCAAAAGUCAGGGGGCCAGGUGGUAAUUUACCACCGGCGGCGCCCCCCGACCGCCGGAGACGGCGGCUCAGGCCUCCACGGGCCAUGGAAACGUGCAGAUCACAAGCAUUCAACCCCAUAAACUUGCUCAAGCCAUCAAAAUCCUUAAACAAGCAACGUUGAAGUCGCCGUUUGAGGAUUAAAAACCCGCCGCCGACGGAAUAUUCCCAGGCAUCGGCGGCGCCUUCCCCGCCUCCUCCACUUCAAUUAAUCACUGAAAUCAACUCUACACCGGCUUAUAAACAUGAUGGUAUAGUUUGUUUGUGCUCAGAAUCACCAGAUAACCAAACCCCAAAUUUCAAUUGAAUAUAUUCAAAGAACACGAAGAACCCUAGUUUUCUAAUUCGACAAUCAAACUCAAUUUUAAAGGUGUUAUGAACCUCCAAAUCACACAUAUAACAUACCAAAAUGACCAGGAGAAGAUUAUCUACAACAUACAAUCAUCAAAUCACACAAACAACUUCAAAAUCAAAAAGCCCUAAUUUAAGCCUAUUUAUUUCGAAUUUAAAACUCAAAAUCCAUACCCACCUGAUGUUGCUGCACUGAUUUUGAUGCUAGAUUAUGAUUCUACUUGUUAAAACCUUCAAUUUGAGCCCUUGAACGCCAAAAUCCGAGUCCGAUAACGCGUCCAAAUCCUCGUUUGAAUCUCAAGAACACGAAGAACUCUCUCGGGAAUUUCUCGGUUUUAACAUGUUUUAUGAUUUUCG